GACUUGUCCGGACUGCCCGAGCUACCAGAUACACCUGAUGCUGAGGAGUGGCUGGGAUUACCGCUUGCACUGCACCCAGGGGAGACGGAUGACAACCCAGAGAUCCAGGUGACUACAUGAAAUUGAAACAAGUUGAUGCCUUUUUUGAUCAAAUGCAUGAAAGUACCACAGGGACUGUACAUUCUGCUUCAUAAACUGGGAGUUCAGACAGGAGUAGAAGCAUAAGAAAACAUGUGAGAGAGCCUGAUCUCAUCGUAUCCCUGGCUUGCGCAGAAGCAGGAGGUCCUGGAAAUCUGUUACGGCAUCCUGUGCUGCAGA